rnacentral:piRNA from 1 species
UCCCUGCGGUCGAGAAGAACACCCAGUGC